AAAGGUAGCAUAAUCAUUAGGGAUUUAAUUGGGAUCUGGAAUGAAGGGUUGGACAAAGGAGAAACUGUCUUUAUUGUAUAAGUUGAAAUUUACUUUUAAGUGAAAAGGCUUAAAUACUUCAAAGGGACGAUAAGACCCUAUAAAGCUUUAUAAGUAAACUUAAAUUUAGUUAAUCUAAAUUAUAAAAAUUAAAUUUAGUUAUCUUAUUUCGUUGGGGUGAUGUGAGUAUAAUUAUUAUUAACUGCUUAAAAAAUACACUAUUAUGAUAGAUUUAAUAAACAUAUGAUCCUUUUUAGAGAUUAAAAGACCAAGUUACUUUAGGGAUAACAGCGUUAUUUCUUUUGAGAGUUCAUAUCGAAAAAGAAGAUUGCGACCUCGAUGUUGAAUUAAAAUAUCUGUAUAAUGCAGCCGUUAUACAAGAAGGUCUGUUCGACCUUUAAAAU
rnacentral:rRNA from 1 species